GCUGGCGGCGUGCCUAAUACAUGCAAGUCGAGCGAACAGACGAGGAGCUUGCUCCUUUGACGUUAGCGGCGGACGGGUGAGUAACACGUGGGUAACCUACCUAUAAGACUGGGAUAACUUCGGGAAACCGGAGCUAAUACCGGAUAAUAUUUCGAACCGCAUGGUUCGAUAGUGAAAGAUGGCUCUGCUAUCACUUAUAGAUGGACCUGCGCCGUAUUAGCUAGUUGGUAAGGUAACGGCUUACCAAGGCAACGAUACGUAGCCGACCUGAGAGGGUGAUCGGCCACACUGGAACUGAGACACGGUCCAGACUCUACGGGAGGCAGCAGUAGGGAAUCUUCCGCAAUGGGCGAAAGCUGACGGAGCAACGCCGCGUGAGUGAUGAAGGUCUUCGGAUCGUAAAACUCUGUUAUUAGGGAAGAACAAACGUGUAAGUAACUGUGCACGUCUUGACGGUACCUAAUCAGAAAGCCACGGCUAACUACGUGCCAGCAGCCGCGGUAAUACGUAGGUGGCAAGCGUUAUCCGGAAUUAUUGGGCGUAAAGCGCGCGUAGGCGGUUUNNNAAGUCUGAUGUGAAAGCCCACGGCUCNACCGUGGAGGGUCAUUGGAAACUGGAAAACUUGAGUGCAGAAGAGGAAAGUGGAAUUCCAUGUGUAGCGGUGAAAUGCGCAGAGAUAUGGAGGAACACCAGUGGCGAAGGC
rnacentral:rRNA from 1 species